rnacentral:ncRNA from 1 species
CCCUGACUACCAUUAUCACAAUUCUGUGGGUAGACACUAGCCACGACAGGAGAACAACAUG